GACUAGCUGGACGAGUAUUUGAUA
rnacentral:piRNA from 1 species